GACGAACCGUACGAACGUUAUUCGGAAUCACUGGGCUUAAAGGGUGCGUAGGCGGCGCAGAAAGUAGGGUGUGAAAUCCCUCGGCCUAACCGAGGAACUGCGCUCUAAACUACUGUGCUCGAGUGAGAUAGAGGUGAGCGGAACUUAGGGUGGAGCGGUGAAAUGCGUUGAUAUCCUAAGGAACACCGGUGGCGAAAGCGGCUCACUGGAUCUCUUCUGACGCUGAGGCACGAAAGCUAGGGUAGCAAACGGG
rnacentral:rRNA from 1 species